UACGGGGGGGGCUAGCGUUGUUCGGAAUUACUGGGCGUAAAGGGCGCGUAGGCGGUCUGCUAAGUUGGAUGUGAAAACUCUGGGCUUAACCCAGAGCCUGCAUUCAAUACUGACAGGCUAGAGUUCUGGAGGGGAUAGCGGAAUUCCUGGUGUAGCGGUGAAAUGCGUAGAUAUCAGGAGGAACACCGGUGGCGAAGGCGGCUAUCUGGACAGAGUCUGACGCUGAGGCGCGAAAGCGUGGGUAGCAAACAGG
rnacentral:rRNA from 1 species